rnacentral:rRNA from 1 species
AAUCAACGCUGGCGGCGCGCUUAACACAUGCAAGUCGAACGAGAACAGGUCUUCGGACCUGGGAAAGUGGCGGACGGGUGAGUAACACGUGGGUUACCUGCCCUCGAGUGGGGAAUAACUCCGGGAAACUGGAGCUAAUACCGCAUACGACCCUUCGGGGUGAAAGGCUUCGGUCGCUCGAGGAUGGGCCCGCGGUCGAUUAGCUAGUUGGUAGGGUAACGGCCUACCAAGGCACCGAUCGAUAGCCGGCCUGAGAGGGCACACGGCCACACUGGCACUGAGACACGGGCCAGACUCCUACGGGAGGCAGCAGUGGGGAAUCUAGGACAAUGGGGGAAACCCUGAUCCAGCGACGCCGCGUGACCGAUGAAGGCCCUCGGGUCGUAAAAGGUCUUUCGACGGGGAAAAAGUUAUGAUGGUACCCGUAUAAGAAGGAGCGGCUAACUACGUGCCAGCAGCCGCGGUAAUACGUAGGCUCCAAGCGUUGUUCGGAAUUACUGGGCGUAAAGCGAGUGUAGGCGGUCCAUCAAGUUGGUUGUGAAAUCUCCUGGCUCAACUGGGAGGGUGCGACCAAAACUGAUGGACUAGAGUCUGGGAGAGGAGAGUGGAAUUCCUGGUGUAGCGGUGAAAUGCGUAGAUAUCAGGAGGAACACCGGUGGUGAAGACGGCUCUCUGGACCGGUACUGACGCUGAGACUCGAAAGCGUGGGGAGCAAACAGGAUUAGAUACCCUGGUAGU